AGUGUGAUGGCUGAGUGGUUUAAAGCGGUUGUCUUGAAAACAAUUCCUCUCGAAAGAGAUUCGUUGGUUCGAAUCCAACUCACACUG
rnacentral:tRNA from 1 species